UACGGAGGGUGCAAGCGUUAAUCGGAAUUACUGGGCGUAAAGCGCACGCAGGUGGCUGAGUCAGUCGAUUGUGAAAUCCCCGGGCUCAACCCGGGAACUGCGUCCGAUACUGGCAGGCUUGAAUCCGGGAGAGGGAUGCGGAAUUCCAGGUGUAGCGGUGAAAUGCGUAGAUAUCGGUAGGAACACCAGUGGCGAAGGCGGUCUCCUGGGGCAUUCUUGACGCUGAGGCGCGAAAGCUGGGGGAGCGAACGGG
rnacentral:rRNA from 1 species